UCCUGUGACUACGAGUGAACAGUCCUUGCUCCUGGACCUAAGAAGUCAUUUCUCCACUUUACAAUGUCGAGACACGGCUCCAGCAGUUCCUGGAAUGAGGAGACACAAAUCCAUAUAAAGGAGCAAAAUAAACUACCACAAACUAAGUGGCUUACAAGGACACCCAUUUCCAGCUCAGAAAUCCAGGCAUGGUGUGGCCGGGUCCUCUGCUCAAGGUCUCAAAAACUGAAGUCAAGGGGUCAGAUGCUCUGGGUUCUCAUCCAGAGGCUCCAGAGAAGAUUCUGCUUCCAAGGUUGUUGGCAGGAUUCAGUUCCCUGAGACUGUGGGACUAAGGCCCCAUUCUGCAAGCUGUCAGCAGGGAGCUGCUCUCAGCUCAUAGGGGCUGCUCAUAUUUCUUGCCACAUGGCUCUGUCCUCCGACUUCAAAGUUGGCAAUGAAGAAUUUCUUAUGCAUGCAAUCCCUCUUACCUCAGAUUUCUCUCUUCUUCUGUCUCUGCCCUCUAGAGCCAGGUGUUCAAAGGACUCAUGGGAUUAGGUCAAGCCAAUUUGAUUAUCUCCCUUGAAUUAACUAGAAGUCAACUGAUUAGUAACUGUUAUUGACUGAAUGUUUGUGCCCUGUUGAAUCCCUAACCUCUACAUGAUGGUAUUUGAAGGUGGGGCUUUUGGGAGGUAAUUGGGUUAGAGGAGGUCAUGAGGAUGGGGCCCCCAUGAUGGUAUUAAUGCCCUUACAGGAAGAGAUGCUAGAGAUCUUUCUCUCCUAUAACCCCUCCACCUCUCUCACUGCCAUGUGAGAAGGGAGUGCCAGGGAGAAGGUGGCCAUCUAUAAGCCAGGAAGAGAACUCUCCCCAGAGACUG